rnacentral:rRNA from 1 species
GAUGAACGCUGGCGGCGUGCCUAAUACAUGCAAGUCGAGCGAAGCGGGGACGGGUUAGUAACACGUGGAUAACCUCCUAUAAGACUGGGAUAACCUCGGGAAACCGGAGCUAAACCGGAUAUUUACAGUUGGAUCCGCGCUGCAUUGGCUAGUUGGUAAGGUAACGGCUUACCAAGGCAACGACGCCUAGCCGGCCGGAGAGGGUGAUCGGCCACACUGGAACUGAGACACGGUCCAGACUCCUACGGGAGGCAGCAGUGGGGAAUCUUCCGCAAUGGGCGAAAGCCUGACGGAGCAACGCCGCGUGUGUGAUGAAGGUCUUCGGGUCGUAAAACUCUGUUAGUGGGGAAGCGGUACCUGAUCAGAAAGCCACGGCUAACUACGUGCCAGCAGCCGCGGUAAUAC